rnacentral:rRNA from 1 species
GCGCGAAAACUUUACAAUGCUGGCAACAGCGAUAAGGGAACCUCGAGUGCCAGGUUACAAAUCUGGCUGUCAAGAUGCCUAAAAAGCAUUUCAUAGCAAGGGCCGGGCAAGACCGGUGCCAGCCGCCGCGGUAACACCGGCGGCUCGAGUGGUAACCGUUAUUAUUGGGUCUAAAGGUCUGUAGCCGGCCGGAUAAGUCUCUUGAGAAAUCUGGCAGCUUAACUGUCAGGCUUUCAGGAGAUACUGUCUGGCUCGAGGCCGGGAGAGGUGAGAGGUACUUCAGGGGUAGGGGUGAAAUCUUGUAAUCCUUGAAGGACCACCAGUGGCGAAGGCGUCUCACCAGAACGGACCUGACGGCAAGGGACGAAGGCUAGGGGCACGAACCG